rnacentral:rRNA from 1 species
AUGGGUCAGGUGAAGUCCAUGGGUCAGGGGUUUUUUACCACGAAAUCUGUUUAUGAGUGGUUAGAAAAAGAUUUGUCAGGACCUGACUACAAGUUGAUCUGGAAAGCUAGGAUUCCUUUGAAAAUUAAAAUCUUCCUCUGGCAGCUGUUUCAGAAUGCCAUCCCUACUAGGGACAACUUGCGGAAAAGGAACUGGCCCGGGAACCCAACAUGUUCAUUUUGCCAUGAUAUUGAAUCUGCGGAUCAUCUUUUCUUUGGGUGUGUGUUUGCUCGGUCUGUUUGGGGGGCGAUUGGGUCAGCCCUGGGAGCAUCCUGCACUCCUAAAACCAUUUGGCAAAGUUGGGCAUGGCUCUAUAAAUAUCUUCCUGGUGGUAAAAAGCAUUACAUGACUAUUGUUGCUGCUGUCUGUUGGGGCAUUUGGUGCACUCGUAACAGGGUAACGUUUGACAAAUGUAUCAUUCGCUCCCCGUUGGAGGCUGUUUUCACUGCAUGCUCUUUUUUGAUGUAUUGGUCAGGUCUGCUGAAAGGGAUCGACAAGGAAAACGUCCAGGCUGGAGUGCAGAAGAUGGUGCGCGCGGCUGCUUCGUUGGCGGAUCGUUCUGCUACCAGGGGGAGGCUCAUGCUGGGAAAUGGUGCUUGA